GACCAAUAUGCAAAAUCAAGACUUUAAUUGCUGUAGAUCAUUUAAAUUCAAUAUAAUAAUAUAUUAAUUUAGCUGGAUAACAAAAACCCAAAUAUGUCUGUUGAGAAAGAGAUCCAGAUGAGUAUGAAAUGGCAUCAUAUGUUGUUGUCUCUCUCAAGAGCAGCUGUACAAAGUGGGUCAGCAGUGGGCAUCAGCUGAGCUUUAAGGUGCAAAUGGUCCUGCACCGAUCUGCUCGCUGACUGAUUAGCUCAAACACUGAGUGGAAGGAACUAAGCCAUGGACUCUCAACACAUCCAUCUAUCUCACAGUCACCAGCCUGCUGGGCUGUAGACAGAUGAGCUGUCGAACCUUCAGAAAGUGAGAAGGUCCGUUGAACCUUGUGGUAUAUUCAGGGAUGGAAUUUCAAGAUCAGUAGUUGGAUGUGUUGCGGUGUGUACUUUAGGCUAAUAAACGUGUUGACAGUUCUUAUGUCUGCUGCAGAUGUUUUGAAGAGAAAAUUAGUUUUUGUGAAUACUGAACCUUUGUACAUCAUAUAAGUAUAAUAUAACAACAUUUAUCUGAAAGACAUCAAAACCUCUGUGAGAAACUUUUCAAAUGGGAUCUUUUCUCAAAUCAUCCUGACCAGUAAUGUUCUGUGGGUCUUUAACUCCAGGAAAUAAUUCCAUAAGAAUUUCUCCAGCCUAUUCUCAAGAAAAAAAAAAAAAAAAAGCCAUUUGCCAAUGAUUUCGAUGUACUAAAAUAUCACUGCAAACCAAAACAAAUGGUGCGGUGGCAACCACAAGCAAAGGAAGGUUUAGGGUUAUAUUCUUAAGUUGCAUAAUUCACCUAUUUUUUCCUCAUUUUUUACAGAUAUACAAUGGGAAAUGUUAUGAUUUGCUUGUCAACAACCCAGUGGUGACCAGACGAAAACUUCACUGCGAGUGGAAUGUGAGCAUCUUUUGCAGGCCUCAGUAUCAGCUGGUUCUAUUUAUGGAUGAAGAGCAAGCUAAAAGACCAUUAUGGAGCAUUUUACACAGCUUUGAAAGGCCAGACCAAAUAUGCAACAUGAAGAUGCUUCCAGCGAUGCACACAACCCUUCCAACGAUCCUUUCACCAUGUAAAUCAUUUCAGCUUGCCUAUCCAAUGCCAAAAGGUUUAUGCCUAUUUUGCGGUUCAGAGGGACACCUCCUUCCCUCGUGUCCAGUCAGACCUCCAUGCCCAGCGGUGAGUACUAUCCAUACACCACCUUCGAUAUCUUUGCUUGCCUGUUCAGAUGUUAUUCUAAUGACUUCCCAUCAAUCUAUUUCAGCAAAAGCCCUCAUAGACUCCAGAUAGAGGAUGACGAGUGGAAGACAGAUUUGUAACACCAUCAGGCCACUACAGAUAUCUCAUUAUGCCAUACAGACUGUCCAACUCACCCACAGUCUUCCAGGGAUUUAUAUAUGAGGUGUUCCGGGAAUUCCUUCAUUGUUUCUUUAUGAUGAUAUCCUCAUCUAUUCCCGGAACCAGGCCAAAUAUCUCCAAAAUGUGACGCAGAACAUUUGAGAAUCCAGAAACUUUGAGAAUUCUGCUUAUACCUCAAACUUGAGAAAUGCGAGUUCCUCCGUGACCAUUGUCCAUUUCCAUUUCCAUGUCAUCAACCAACACAGGAUCCACAUGGACCAGAAGAAGGUACAGGCAGCUGAGAAUUCGCCACAACCCACAACCAUGAUGGAACUACAAUGCUUCUUGGGGUUUAAAUUUUUUUACAGGAGGUUCAACAGCAACUUCAAUAACAUCUGCUCACCUCUAACCUCCUUGCUGAAACAUGGGGCCAAGUCUCUGUUCUGGAACACUGAAGCAUCCAACACCUUCAACCAUCUCAAGAAAGCCUUAUGUGUUGCUCCUAUUGAAAUGCAUCCCAAUCCAGAACUGCAUAGGAGCCAUAUUGUCUCAGCGCCAGGGUGAGCCUUCCAAACUCCAUUCAUGUGCCUUUUAAUCUAAACUAUGACAUCGGUAACCACAAACUGCUGGCCAUCAAACUUGCCUUAGAAGAGUGGCGCCAUGGGAGCUAAACAUAUCCAUGUUUCUCGCCACUUACCUGAGGGAAAUCUGGUUCCCCUUCCUGUAUCUAACAGGCCAUUGUCACAUAUUGGAAUUGAUUUCAUCAAAGACGCGCCUUCUUCGGAUUCUCGCAAAUGCAUCCUGGUCAUUGUAGACUGCUUCUCAUAAGCGUGUAAGUUGAUUCCUUUGAAUGGACUAUCCACUAUCUUUGAAACUGCCGAGACCCUCUUCCAACAAGUCUUUUGUUAUUUUGGGAUCCCUGAAGAUAUUGCCUCUGACCACGGACCUCAAUUCAUUUUCAGAGUGUGGAACACCUUCAAGUUACUCUGAGUCACAGUCAGCUUAACAUCAGGAUAUCAUCUGCUGUCUAACAGCCAGACUGAGUGUAAGAUACAAGAAAUCUGGAGAUAUCUGCGGCCAUAUUUUCCAUGAACAUCAAGACAGCUGGAGCUGCUACUGUCCAUGGGCCGAGUAUGCACAGAACUCUCUGAGUCAAGCCACCACCAGGUUAACAACCUUACAGUGCAUACUCUGCUAAUUACUGCCUCUGUUUGAGCCUUCUGACAUUCCAGCUUUCCACCAUUAGUUCAAGGAGAGCGAGAGGGUUUGGGACUCAGCUCACAUCCACCUGCAGAUUGCAGUUCGAAGAUACAAGAGCCAGGCUGAUGCUAGAAGAUCAGCGACACCCCAGUAUCAUCCAGGGCAGAUGGUGGCUCUCAACCAGGGACACCCGCCUUCGACUGCCCUGUCGCAAGCUGAGUCCCUGCUAUGUUGGUCAAUUCACAUUCCAGAGGUAGAUAAACGAAGUCACAUACAGGCUAAACCUUCCUCCUCAGUACAGAAUUUCACCUUCUUUUCAUGUAUCCCUGUUGUUAUACCAUAACUAUAUACUGAUCCUCUGCUUUCUUCCUCUCCAGGGUGUGCCUCUUCCUCCAAUGGAUCCUUCGGAGGAGAACAUCUACAGAGUCAACACCAACCUAGACUUCCGAUGACAGGGUGGUCGCCUAGAGUACCUCGUAGACUGGGAGGGGUUCGGCCCAGAGGAAAGAUCUUGGGUUCCCAAUGAUGACAUACUAGACCCAUCUCUGCUCCUUGAAUUCCACACGAAUCACCCCGAUAGUCCAGCAUUGAGAGGCAGAGGCCACCGCUGUCGCCCCUUUUCUCCAUUCAGUAUCCAUCUGCAUCCAACUUCCAGAUCCAGCUUACCAACACCAGUUCAUCAAAACCCACAAUGAUAAGACUGUUAUUCAAUGAACUAUCUCAGAAUUGCUCUGUUGAUCAAUCACUUACCUGCUAUGUACGUGUAUCUGUCAAAACCUGCAAUAAACCUGUUGUUUGGAUUAGCUUGUUGCAGUCUUCUGUUUUAUGACAGACAACAUUUGGUUCAAAUCAUCAGUUGUGGAUUGGGAACAAGUAGAUCUGAAUGUGCAAGAUUCUAAGAAAGGAGCAGGAUUUAAGAAAAUUGAAUGAUUGGAAAAUUGGCA
ensembl:lncRNA